AGCGGGGUGGCCUAGUGGAAUGGUGCGGGGCCCAUAACCCCGAGGUCGGUGGAUCGAAACCACCCCCCGCUA
rfam:Thelohanellus kitauei scaffold01980, whole genome shotgun sequence.